CACCAAGAUGUGAAUGAAUAGACAAGUGCUGCAUCCAAAGGGUGGCACACUCUUAGCAACAGAAAUGAACUACUGGUGCACACAGCAGCAUGAUGGAUCUCAAAGUAACCACGCGAAGUGGAAGUGGCCAAACGAAAAAGAACACACGAUUCCAUUAAUUUAAAAAUUCUAGAAUAUACAAACUAAUCUAAAAUGGCGGCAAGCAGGCCAUGGGUUGCCUAAGGACAAGAGAUGGGGUGGGAGAAAUGAAAGGGAGACCGAGAGACCCGAGAUAACAUCCGGAGGGGAGAUGGAUAUGGAUAUGGAAGAUGAUAUGUUCACUAUCUUGGGUGUGGUGCCGGUUUCAUGACCUAUACAAGCAUCAAAGCUUAUCAAACAAACAUAUGCCAUUGCUUGUGUCAAUGAUAACUCGGAAAAGCUGAUUUUAGCAAUUGCAUAUUUCUGUAGCACCCCUCGCAGUGAAGGUUCUCAAUAACUUUUUCUCAGCCUGGCCGCUUUCCAUACCAGUAAUUCCUGCAAAAAGGCAAAGUAAAGGACACCAGCCUGGCCUCACUCCUCGCCACCCUCACCCACAAAGCCACCGCCUUUGGCAACCUAACUCAACUUCACGGCUCACCGGAACACGACAUUCUCGGUAUUUAUGCUCACACAGCCCCCACAUAGUGUUUGGCAGGUGUCUGGCACUGAAUAAACUGAAAGAAGUGGAGGACAAAGUUUCCUUGUUCCUGGGUGCCUGCAAGGUGACCUCCAAGAGUCGCAUGUUGUGAAGACCUCAGUCUAGUCUCAAUAAAGGAGAUUCUGAG
rnacentral:lncRNA from 1 species